AUAAGCUUGCUUAUUUCGUUAGUGGCGCACGGGUGAGUAAUGUAUAGCUAACCUGCCCUUUAGUGGGGGACAACAGUUGGAAACGACUGCUAAUACCCCAUAUUCCUUCUUAUCACAAGGUAAGUUGGGAAAGAUUUAUUGCUAAAGGAUGGGGCUUUAUGGUAUCAGCUAGUUGGUGGGGUAACGGCCUACCAAGGCUAUGACGCCUACCUGGUCUGAGAGGAUGAUCAGGCACACUGGAACUGAGACACGGUCCAGACUCCUACGGGAGGCAGCAGUGGGGAAUAUUGCACAAUGGAGGAAACUCUGAUGCAGCAACGCCGCGUGGAGGAUGACGCAUUUCGGUGUGUAAACUCCUUUUAUAAGGGAAGAUAAUGACGGUACCUUAUGAAUAAGCACCGGCUA
rnacentral:rRNA from 1 species